CAGUGAGUCAUCGAAUCUUUGAACGCACAUUGCGCCCUUUGGUAUUCCGAAGGGCAUGCCUGUUCGAGCGUCAUUAUCACCCCUCAAGCCCUAUGCUUGGUGUUGGACGGCCGGUCGGGCGAUCGACCCCUCCGAAAGACAAUGACGGCGGCCUGUGGUUCCCCCGGUACACUGAGCUUCUCCCCGAGCACGUACCGGACGAGGGCACCCGGGACCCGGUCCUCUCCUUUCACUAGGAAACUUUUUCAAGGUUGACCUCGGAUCAGGUAGGAAUACGCGCUGAACUUAAGCAUAUCAAUAAGCGCAGGAAAAGAAACCAACAGGGAUUACCUUAGUAACGGCGAGUGAAGCGGUAAUAGCUCAAAUUUGAAAUCUGGCCUCUUGGGGUCCGAGUUGUAAUUUGUAGAGGAUGUUUUGGGUACCGCCCCGGUCUAAAUUUCUUGGAACAGAAUGUCAAAGAGGGUGAGAAUCCCGUCUUGGACCGGCGGUAGGGCCUGUGUAAAACUCCUUCGACGAGUCGAGUUGUUUGGGAAUGCAGCUCAAAAUGGGUGGUAAAUUUCAUCUAAAGCUAAAUAUUGGCCAGAGACCGAUAGCGCACAAGUAGAGUGAUCGAAAGAUGAAAAGCACUUUGAAAAGAGAGUUAAACAGUAUGUGAAAUUGUUGAAAGGGAAGCGCUGGCUAUCGAUGAAGAGCGCGGCGGUUCCCCCGGUCUUUUGGCCGGGCUACUCCGUCGUGUCCAGGCCAACAUCGGUUCUGAGGGUCGGUCAAAGGCCCUGGGAAUGUAUCUACCCACGGGUAGACUUAUAGACCAGGGUGUCAUGCGGCCUCUCGGGACCGAGG
rnacentral:rRNA from 1 species